CUGAAUUUUAGUAGAUCCGCAAUACA
rnacentral:misc_RNA from 1 species